rfam:Mus musculus chromosome 9, GRC primary reference assembly.
UGGCUCAGUGGUUAAGAGCACUGAACUGCUCUUCCAGAGGUCCUGAGUUCAAUUCCCAG